rnacentral:sRNA from 1 species
ACCAGAAAAGAUAGUUAACCCUUAUUUUUAGUCGCUUUGUUUUGUUUUUUUCGUCAAUUGAUUGUGAUUUUGAAACUGUGUGAUCGCAAAAGAAAAUCUGCAAAUUAGCAAAAAAGAAAGUUCCUUAAGCAAGUGAUAAUCGGAUAGAAACUCUAAAGACAAAAAAGGAAAGGAAGCCGAAACCCAAGAU